AUGAUUAAUUUGGGCAGAAGCACGAAAGAAGUGGAUCAAAUCUUGAAGCGGUAUGCAGAUUGCUCUGGACAAGUAAUUAACAAAGACAAAUCUGCUACCAUGUUCAGCAAAAAUACUCGUCGGGAGAAGAGACAUGCCACAAUGCAGAUUUUGAACCUGAAUUGUGAAGCCAAAACAGAGAAAUGCCUGGUAUAUCUCCGACACCUGGAAUUGCCCAUCUAUAUCAGAAAAUCAAAGUCAAAAACAUUUGCAUACCUAAAGGAUAGGAUUUGGAGAAAGAUCCAAGGCUGGAAAGAACGCAUGCUAUCAAUGGCUGGGAAGGAAAUUCUAAUCAAAACGGUGGCACAAUCAGUACCAAUCUAUGCAAUGGCGUGCUUUGAUCUCACCAAAUCUCUAUGUGAUCAAAUGAGCACAAUAAUAUGCAAGUACUGGUGGAGUCAGAUGGACAAAGAAAAUAGAAUCCACUAG
rnacentral:rRNA from 1 species